GACGAACGCUGGCGGCGUGCUUAACACAUGCAAGUCGAACGGAAAGGCCUCUUUCGGGGGGUACUCGCGUGGCGAACGGGUGAGUAACACGUGAGUAACCUGCCCUUGACUUUGGGAUAACUUCAGGAAACUGGGGCUAAUACCGGAUAGGAGCUCCUGCUGCAUGGUGGGGGUUGGAAAGUUUCGGCGGUUGGGGGUGGACUCGCGGCUUAUCAGCUUGUUGGUGGGGUAGUGGCUUACCAAGGCUUUGACGGGUAGCCGGCCUGAGAGGGUGACCGGCCACAUUGGGACUGAGAUACGGCCCAGACUCCUACGGGAGGCAGCAGUGGGGAAUAUUGCACAAUGGGUGGAAGCCUGAUGCAGCAACGCCGUGUGCGGGAUGACGGCCUUCGGGUUGUAAACCGCUUUCGCUCAUGACGAAGCUUUGUGUGACGGUAGUGGGUAAAGAAGCACCGGCUAACUACGUG
rnacentral:rRNA from 1 species